GGGCCCGCACAAGCGGUGGAGUAUGUGGUUUAAUUCGAUGCAACGCGAAGAACCUUACCAGGGCUUAAAUGUAAGUUGCAUAGAUCAGAGAUGGUCUUUUCUUCGGACUACUUACAAGGUGCUGCAUGGUUGUCGUCAGCUCGUGCCGUGAGGUGUCAGGUUAAGUCCUAUAACGAGCGCAACCCCUGUCGUUAGUUACCAGCAAGUAAUGUUGGGUACUCUAGCGAGACUGCCGGUGCAAACCGUGAGGAAGGUGGGGAUGACGUCAAAUCAUCACGGCCCUUACGUCCUGGGCUACACACGUGCUACAAUGGCCGGUACAGAGAGCAGCCACUACGCGAGUAGGAGCGAAUCUUCAAAGCCGGUCUCAGUUCGGAUCGCAGUCUGCAACUCGACUGCGUGAAGCUGGAAUCGCUAGUAAUCG
rnacentral:rRNA from 1 species